GACGUACGCUGGCGGCGUGCUUAACACAUGCAAGUCGAACGGAAAGGCCCUGCUUUUGUGGGGUGCCCGAGUGGCGAACGGGUGAGUAACAAGUGAGUAACCUGCCCGUGACUUUGGGAUAACUUCAGGAAACUGGGGCUAAUACCGGAUAGGAGCUCCUGAUGCAUGGUGUGGGUGGGAGAGUUUCGGCGGCUGGGGAUGGACGCGCGGCUUAUCAGCUGGUUGGUGGGGUAGUGGCGUACCAAGGCUUUGACGGGUGGCCGGCUUGGGAGGGUGACACGCCCCAGUGGGAUUGGGGUAGCGGCCGUGCGCCUACGUGCGGCAGCAGUGGGGGACAGUCCACGAUGGGCGGAAGCCGUAUGGAGCAACUCCGCGUUCGGGAGGACGGCCUUUGGGUUGUAAACCGCUUCCGGCGGUGACGAAGCGGGAGUGACGGUAACGGGUAAAGAAGCACCGGCUAACUACGUG
rnacentral:rRNA from 1 species